UGGUUCUGGCAUCGAUGAAGAACGCAGCGAAAUGCGAUAAGUAAUGUGAAUUGCAGAAUUCAGUGAAUCAUCGAAUCUUUGAACGCACAUUGCGCCCAUUAGUAUUCUAGUGGGCAUGCCUGUUCGAGCGUCAUUUCAACCCUCAAGCUCUGCUUGGUGUUGGGGAUCAGCCUUCUAUGGCUGGCCCUGAAAAUUAGUGGCGGUCUCGCUGUAGCUUCCUCUGCGUAGUAGCACACCUCGCCCUGGAAAACAGCGCGGCCCAGCCGUUAAACCCCCCAUUUUCUGAAGGUUGACCUCGGAUCAGGUAGGAAUACCCGCUGA
rnacentral:misc_RNA from 1 species